AGUGAACGCUGGCGGUAGGCCUAACACAUGCAGGUCGAACGGCAGCACAGUAAGAGCUUGCUCUUACGGGUGGCGAGUGGCGGACGGGUGAGGAAUACAUCGGAAUCUACUUUUUCGUGGGGGAUAACGUAGGGAAACUUACGCUAAUACCGCAUACGACCUACGGGUGAAAGCAGGGGAUCUUCGGACCUUGCGCGAUUGAAUGAGCCGAUGUCGGAUUAGCUAGUUGGCGGGGUAAAGGCCCACCAAGGCGACGAUCCGUAGCUGGUCUGAGAGGAUGAUCAGCCACACUGGAACUGAGACACGGUCCAGACUCCUACGGGAGGCAGCAGUGGGGAAUAUUGGACAAUGGGCGCAAGCCUGAACCAGCCAUACCGCGUGAGUGAAGAAGGCCUUCGGGUUGUAAAGCACUUUUGUUAGGAAAGAAAAGCAGCAGGUUAAUAACCCGCUGUUCUGACGGUACCAAAAGAAUAAGCACCGGCUAACUUCGUG
rnacentral:rRNA from 1 species